AUUGAACGCUAGCGGCAGGCUUAACACAUGCAAGUCGAGCGAGCGGCGGACGGGUGAGUAAUGUCUGGGAAACUGCCUGAUGGAGGGGGAUAACUACUGGAAACGGUAGCUAAUACCGCAUACCAUCAGAUGUGCCCCGAUGGGAUUAGCUAGUAGGUGGGGUAAAGGCUCACCUAGGCGGCGAUCCCUAGCUGGUCUGUGAGGAUGACCAGCCACCCUGGAAACGGGCCACGGUCACGAAGCCUACGGGAGGGCGCAGUGGGGAAUAUGGGACAAUGGGCGCAAGCCUGAUGCAGCCGUGCCGCGUGUAUUAAGAAGGCCUUCGGGUUGUAAAGUACUUUUAGCGGGGAGGCGGUACCCGCAGAAGAAGCACCGGCUAACUCCGUGCCAGCAGCCGCGGUAAUUC
rnacentral:rRNA from 1 species